rnacentral:rRNA from 1 species
UUCGGGGGACAGGGUGACAGGUGGUGCAUGGUUGUCGUCUAGCUCGUGUCGUGAGAUGUUGGGUUAAGUCCCGCAACGAGCGCAACCCUCGACCUUAGUUGCCAGCAUUCAGUUGGGCACUCUAAGGUGACUGCCGGCUAAAAGUCGGAGGAAGUGGGGAUGACGUCAAAUCAUCAUGCCCCUUAUGACCUGGGCUACACACGUGCUACAAUGGGCGGUACAAAGGGUCGCGAACCCGCGAGGGGGAGCCAAUCCCAAAAAGCCGCUCUCAGUUCGGAUUGCAGGCUGCAACUCGCCUGCAUGAAGCCGGAAUCGCUAGUAAUCGCGGAUCAGCAUGCCGCGGUGAAUACGUUCCCGGGCCUU